UAACUUGUCAUUAGACCAAAUAGAGGCAGC
rnacentral:piRNA from 1 species